rnacentral:rRNA from 1 species
AUUGAACGCUGGCGGCAUGCCUUACACAUGCAAGUCGAACGGCAGCACGGGAGCAAUCCUGGUGGCGAGUGGCGAACGGGUGAGUAAUAUAUCGGAACGUGCCCAGUCGUGGGGGAUAACGUAGCGAAAGCUACGCUAAUACCGCAUACGAUCUAUGGAUGAAAGCGGGGGAUCGCAAGACCUCGCGCGAUUGGAGCGGCCGAUAUCAGAUUAGGUAGUUGGUGAGGUAAAGGCUCGCCAAGCCGACGAUCUGUAGCCUGGUCUGAGAGGACGACCAGCCACACUGGGACUGAGACACGGCCCAGACUCCUACGGGAGGCAGCAGUGGGGAACUUUUUGGACAAUGGCGCAAGCCUGAUCCAGCAAUGCCGCGUGGCAGGAUGAAGGCCUC